GGCCUUACGGGCUGGGCUACACACGUGCUACAAUGGCGGUGACAGUGGGCAGCAAGGCAGUAAUGCCAAGCUAAUCUCAAAAAGCCGUCUCAGUUCGGAUUGAGGUCUGCAACUCGACCUCAUGAAGUUGGAAUCGCUAGUAAUCGCGGAUCAGAACGCCGCGGUGAAUACGUUCCCGGGCCUUGUACACACCGCCCGUCACACCAUGGGAGUUGGUUUUACCCGAAGGCGAUGCGCUAACCGCAAGGGGGCAGUCGACCACGGUAGGGUCAGCGACUGGGGUGAAGUCGUAACAAGGUAACC
rnacentral:rRNA from 1 species